ACGCUCGACACCUACGGUAGGCAGCAGUGGGGAAUAUUGCACAAUGGAGGAAACUCUGAUGCAGCGAUGCCGCGUGAGGGAAGAAGGUUUUCGGAUUGUAAACCUCUGUCUUUGGGGACGAUAAUGACGGUACCCAAGGAGGAAGCUCCGGCUAACUACGUGCCGGCAGCCGCGGUAAUCUGAGCGGGCUGGCAAGGC
rnacentral:rRNA from 1 species